UUGCCUUCAAAUCCUGAGGAGUUUCAGAAGUUAGAGUCAACUUUUCACUGUACCAAACUAAGUGAACAGACAUAAAUGAAAAACUUCAAUAGCGCAACAAGCUCUGCUCAAAGAAGCUCACCCAGCAAAGAAUUCAGUGCUUUGGCUUUUGUUAAAAGAGAGCAUGAUGAAACACAAGAGGACUGUGGACAGUGCUAGCUAAGAAUAAAGAAAUAAAAAACAGUGCCAUCUUGUGGCCUACAGUAUUCUGAAUGUUGCCAAGAGGAAAGAGGAAAACCUUUUACACAAAGAAAAAAAAAAUACAG